rnacentral:rRNA from 1 species
AUGGAUUUCUUCAAGCUCAAGAAGUUCGGCAAGGCCCGGAAGGGCUCCAGGCGUGAGAGAGAGGCCCUGGAGUGCGACGAGGAGGCCAACGGAGGGAAUGUGGCUUCGGAGGGCGACGUCUUCGAGGAGAACCCUGAGGUGGCCGCAGGGGCUGGUGUGGCCAAUGGGGGAGGGGCUGGUGUGGCCAACGGGGGAGAGGAGGUUGGGGAGGAAGAGGAGGACGAGGACGACGAUUUCAUCACCAACGAGGUGAAGCGGAGGCUCAAGGAGAUGAGGAAGAACACCUUCAUGGUGCUCAUCCCGGAGGAGGAGAAUGCUGAGGUGGAGGAGGAUGAGGACGGGGAGGAGGAAGAGGAAGGGAGUAGCUCCAGGGAGUGGAUGGAGUCCGACGUCGCCGAAGGGUUCCCGCUAUGUGGCUUCGACUCGCUCUAUGAUAAGUACUCUCAGAGAAUGGUGGCGUUUGAUAAGAUGAUUACACAGAUCUUUAAGGAUUCAGGGUCAUUCAACAUCUCAAAAAAGUCGCCUAGAUCAGCAUCAAAAUUGGCAUCAACCUUGCGCAGUCUAUCAUUCAAAAGGAGGGAUGAGCUUCAGGAGGACUGUGAGAAUCUUCAGCAGCAGCAGAGCGAGGAUGACCCUUACCAAAUACUCGAGACUGCUUAUGUUGCACAGGUUUCUUUAAGCUGGGAGGCUAUUCAUUGUACUUACAUGCACCUGAGUCUGAUACUGGCAGCACAGCCGGAGAACCCCACCACCUAUAGCUGUGCUGCUCAAGCAUUUCAGCAGUUCCAGGUUCUGUUGCAGAGAUUUGUUGAGAAUGAACCAUUUGAGCAAGGUUCACGUUUUGAGAUAUAUGCACGUUCUCGGAGCUCCUUGUCGAAAUUGCUUCAGGUUCCCACUUUUCAAGUUGCAGACGGGAAAGAUAAUGCUGAAGACCAAACGGAACCAAUCUUGGCACCUGACCUCAUGAAAUUAUUAGAGGAGUGUAUCUUAACUUUUCGUGUUUUCCUGAAGAAGGACAAGAAAAAGAGCAGUGUCCUCAUGGGCGUUCAUGGCCAUACUGGAAGUUCGAUUCAGCAAGUUCAAUCCUCUCUGGAUAAGAAGGAGAUGAAGGUGAAAGAGCUGUUCAAGAAGAAGAAGGGAUGGAAGAGCAAGACCUGGCCGACCACAAUGGAGGAAGUCCAGCUGCUGUUUGCCCUGACAGACAUCAAAGUGGUGUCGAGGGUCCUGAGAAUGGCAAAACUGAGCAAGGAGCAGCUACUGUGGUGCGAGGAGAAGAUGAGCAAGCUGGACCUCUCCGACAACAAGCUGCGGCGGGAUGGAUGCCCUAUCCUCUUCCCCUGCUGA